UCGUCGGUGGUGUAGUGGUCAGUCAUAACCGACCUCAAUCGGUGGACGAGGGUUCGAAUCCCUUCAGACGAA